rnacentral:rRNA from 1 species
CGAAUGCUGACAUAAGUAACGAUAAAGCGGGUGAAAAGCCCGCUCGCCGGAAGACCAAGGGUUCCUGUCCAACGUUAAUCGGGGCAGGGUGAGUCGACCCCUAAGGCGAGGCCGAAAGGCGUAGUCGAUGGGAAACAGGUUAAUAUUCCUGUACUUGGUGUUACUGCGAAGGGGGGACGGAGAAGGCUAUGUUGGCCGGGCGACGGUUGUCCCGGUUUAAGCGUGUAGGCUGGUUUUCCAGGCAAAUCCGGAAAAUCAAGGCUGAGGCGUGAUGACGAGGCACUACGGUGCUGAAGCAACAAAUGCCCUGCUUCCAGGAAAAGCCUCUAAGCAUCAGGUAACAUCAAAUCGUACCCCAAACCGACACAGGUGGUCAGGUAGAGAAUACCAAGGCGCUUGAGAGAACUCGGGUGAAGGAACUAGGCAAAAUGGUGCCGUAACUUCGGGAGAAGGCACGCUGAUAUGUAGGUGAAGCGACUUGCUCGUGGAGCUGAAAUCAGUCGAAGAUACCAGCUGGCUGCAACUGUUUAUUAAAAACACAGCACUGUGCAAACACGAAAGU